AUUCCAAAUCCCACUAGGCCACUACAAGAGAAAGAAGAAAGAAUGGAAAUUUUCCUAGCCCGUAAAAUUAUUGAAGCUAUUCCUAUUCAAAUUCUGUCCAAAUUCCAAAUCCCACUAGGCCACUACAAGACAAUAAUCUAGGGUUUUGGCAUUUGUUUGUUGCUUUCUCAUGNNNNNNNNNNNNUUUCACAUGAGUACUUCGAAAUGCCGACUUUAUUCUUUAUUUCUUUCUGAUUAAAACCCCAAAUUUCAUAUCUUCACUAAAAGCAUCCGAUCCUAGGAUCACCAACUUCACCUAUAAAAGCCUUCUUUUUUGUUCAAUUUUUGUAGCAUUUUAUAGAGAAAGAUGAGCACUUCAGUUUUCAACUCAGUUUGCUUUGAUCGAGGGUGCUUGUGGAAGGGUGAAGUGAAAUUCUCAAAGUUGGGCG
rnacentral:misc_RNA from 1 species